rnacentral:rRNA from 1 species
UACAGAGGGGGCAAGCGUUGUUCGGAAUUACUGGGCGUAAAGGCGCGUAGGCGGCCUUUCUAAGUCCGAACGUGAAAUCCCUGGCUCAACCCAGGAACUGACGUCCGAUACUGGGAGGCGUUGAAUCCGGGAGAGGGAUGCGGAAUUACCAGGUGUAGCGGUGAAAUGCGUAGAUAUCUGGAGGAACACCGGUGGCGAAGGCGGCAUCCUGGACCGGCAUUGACGCUGAGGCGGCGAAAAGCCAGGGGAGCAAACGGG